GUAAAAAUUUGCAUGGUAUGAUUUUAAAAACUUGAAUUUUUAACUUAAUGUUCUAUGUUCUGUAGUAAUCUCAUUUUCAUGUUACCAAAGGAAACCUGUUAUGACCAGAAUAAAUUAUUUUCCCAACAUUGAACUAAGAAUUCCUAGAGCUGGGGAAAUAAAGGAAUGUCCUUUGCUGCCAGCCUCCUUCCUUCCUCCUUAGGAUACCUCUUUAAAAUUAAUUAUUAGUUUGGUUUUCCCAUUUAAUAGAGAAAUUAUUUAGGAUGUUUUCUAAAAUGUCCAAGUAGCUAGCUAUAACUUGCUGUUUAUUCUUUGAUUGACAGUGACUAAUGUCAUUUCACAGUGGCCAGGAAAUGUGGGCUGUAUGAUCUCCACUUUGAGAGGAUUUUGACCCAAUGCCUGGGUCAUUUAUGUGGCUGGCCUCUGGAUAUCUGAAAGUAAUAUGAAUCCUUCAUUUGCUGGUUUCAAAGUACUAUCUACCUAUCUUCCUGUCUAUCACAUAAAUGUUUCCAGUGAUGCCAUCAAUAGUUACAGAAAUUGAUUGAUUUUUAUAUAUCUGACCUAUUGAUUUCUAAACACAAUAUAUUAAAAUCUUCUACUAUGAUUACCAAUGUACCAGUUAUCAAUUUUGCCUUUUAUUGCCAUAGCUUUCUGUUUCCUAGAUACUAAGUUGUUGUGAUUUUAUAUAGAUAGAUAGAUAGAUAGAUAGAUAGAUAGAUAGAUUGAUUGAUAGAUUUUCACCCACAGUUAUUGGCUCUUAACUCAUAAAAUCCUUGGGAUCGCCGAAGUGUUUUCUUUAGAAUACCUUUUGUCUGAUAGGUUCCAGGGUGGGGCUGGUCCCUGGAAAGACAAAGGCAGGAGUAGAGAGUUGGGACUUUCAGCCCCACACCCAAUCUCCAGGGAAGGGAUAGGGGCUGAAGGUCAAGUUGUUCACCAAUGGCCAAUGGUUUAAUCAAUCAUGCCUAUGUAACAAAGCUUCCAUAAUCCAAAAGGACUGGGUUCAGAGAGCUUCCGGGUAGCUGAACAUGUGGAGGUUCCUGGGAAACGGUACGCCCAGGGAGGGCAGGGUGGCUCCACGCCUCUUCCUUCCUUCAUACUUUGCCCUAUGUGUCUGUAUCCUUUGUAACAUCCUUCUUAAUAAAGCAGUAAACAUA
rnacentral:lncRNA from 1 species